rnacentral:rRNA from 2 species
UAACUUUCAGCAACGGAUCUCUUGGCUCUCGCAUCGAUGAAGAACGUAGCGAAUUGCGAUAUGUAAUGUGAAUUGCAGAUUUUCAGUGAAUCAUCGAAUCUUUGAACGCACCUUGCGCUCCUUGGUAUUCCGAGGAGCAUGCCUGUUUGAGUGUCAUUA